UUUUGAAGCAUUUGACUAAAACAUAUCAUAGAACUAAAAUAAUUUGUCUUAAUCUAGACAUUGGGUAGUUCUUCUACAAUAAAAAUUGUGAUAUUGCUCUGACAUUUUGAUCUUAAAUAAAAAGACUUUCUAGACUAUCUAGUUGAUUUUCCUCUAUUAGAAUGUAGGAUACCUUGGUAUGACUGAGAUGACCCCAGUGGACUAGGAGACAAUGAGAAGCUGCUGUUACUCCUGAUAAGAUACCCACUGCAGGUCUGCGCUCAGCCCAUCGCCAUUGAGGUCACAACCAUUAGUGGGACUCCUUCACUGCCACCUGGAAACAAUUUUCAAGUAUAUGACCCAUCUGUAACGGUGCUGAUGAGACGUGAGACGUGCAGAUCCAUGUGCAAGCUUUUAUUGGACAGAGAUGUUGUCCUAGCAGGCAUGGGUCAAACAAUGGCAAACAGGUAUAUAGAGGGCAAGACACAAGAAUAAUACUAGGGCAAGCAUGGGUCUUCGAUGAGCGAACAAUAUCCAGAGGGGAAGACAAGAGGGGUAAUCCAGUAACCAGAGCAAACGGGUCUAAACACGAGAAGGAGGGCAUGGCAAGGAAAAGAUUAGAUUAUGAGAACAAUAAACUGACUCAAAACUAUGAAAACUAGACACUGAAACAAGACUAUGAAAACUAGAAACUAAGACAAGACUAUGAAAACUAGAAACUAAGACUAAGACUAUGAAAACAAACACGGAAUGGCUUGGUAUUGACGCUAUCGCAAGGAGAGGGAUAUAUGCAGAACAAUACUCGGCAGUGUGUGAGAGGAAGUCCAAUGCUUAUAAAGUGUGUCUGCUGAUUGUGCUGUGCAUGUGUAAUUGGUGGCAGCUGUGUGUGAUAGUUUUCAGGUGAAUGUGAUUGGUGCAAUGUAGUCCAGGGUAUACUGUGUAAUGUGAGAGUCUGUGUUGUGGACGAUGACCUCUAGUGGUGAAUUAACGGAAGUUCAGUGACCGGAUCAUGACACCGUUAAAGAGCUUUGAGUGUGUGAAUGGGGCCUGUCAAGACUACAGGGUUCGCUUCACAUGUCCAUUAAGUUUCUGCAACACAAUGUAUGUAACCAGGCGGUUUGAUUCGGAUAACCCUGAAACAAAUGGAAGCGAUUCUGAACUCUUGUCUGGCCUUUUUCAGUACGUACCCUGGUUACAUUUGCCCAAAUCCAAUCGGAAUAGAAGUUCAGACCAUCUCUGGCCAGCCAGCGUAUCAAAUUGGAGACAUCUUUCAAGUGUAUGAUCCAGUCUUUGGGGUUGCUUGUGUAAAUGCAGACCAAACAGGAGGAAGACAUUUAUUGAAUUCUUUUGAUUUUUCUAUUGCUCCCACUCACAAGGGUGGCCAUAUACUUGACUUAGUGCUUCUACAUUGACUUAGUAUCACUGCUAUAGAAGUCUGUGAAAAUGGGCUCUCUGACCAUAAGACUGUUUACUGUCUCAUGUUCUGCUGCUGCAAAUAUUGUCCCACUUUGUGGCCGCUUUUCUCGGCGUAUUACCCAGACUACUAAAGACAUACAAGACUCAUUUUUUCAACAAUUUUUCAUGCAGUGAUGCCAUCUACUGCCAAUUUUUCCUGUGAUGCUAGUUUUGAGAUUCUCCUCUCCUGGUUUAAUUUCACCUGUUCUAAUGUUUUAAAUGCUGUGGCUCCUUUAAGGACUCUUCAGUCUAAAACUUGUUCUGAACCCUGGAUUGAUGAUUCCAUUUGUUCUCAGACAAUGUUGUAGAAGAGCAUAACGAAAGUGGAAAAAGGAUACGCUUCAUGUUUCUUUUGAGAUUUUAGAAGACACUCUUUUUAAAUAUAAGAAAGCAGUGAAAAAAGCUAAAGUUUGAUAUUUGUCAAAUAUUAUUGAUAAGAACUGCUCUAGACCAAAGACUCUUUUUAAUAUUAUUAAUGCUACUCUCAACCCGUCGGCCUGUCUUGUUCCUGGUGUUUCUUCUCCAUCAUGUGAAGAAUUUGUUUUUUUUUUUUGAUAAUAAAAUUUGGGAUCUCCGGUUGGGGAUAACUCUUUCGUUUCACUUUCUGACUUGCUGGAAAUAGUUGAGCAACUUAAACCUUCGGGCUUGACUCUGGAUGUUAUUCCUCCUUUUUCAUGGAAGUUUUUAUUGAUGUUGCUCCGCAUCUCUUGAUUAUAAUUAAUCGCAGUCUAGAACCUGGCAUUGUGCCUGACUGUUUAAAACAUGCAGUAGUUUACCCAUUGCUCAAAAAACAGAAUCUGGACUCAUCAGUGUUAACAAAUUUUAGGCCCAUUUCUAAUCUGCCUUUUAUCUUCAAGAUUCUGGAAAAAAAAAUUGUUUUCCCAGUUACAAAGUUAUUUAGCUGAUGUUUG